UACAGAGGGGGCAAGCGUUAUUCGGAAUUAUUGGGCGUAAAGGGCGCGUAGGCGGCUUUGCAAGUGACGGGUGAAAUCCCUCGGCUUAACCGAGGAACUGCCUGUCAAACUGCAUGGCUUGAGACCGGGAGAGGUGAGUGGAAUUCCCCAGUGUAGCGGUGAAAUGCGUAGAUAUUGGGAGGAACACCAGUGGCGAAGGCGGCUCACUGGACCGGUACUGACGCUGAUGCGCGAAAGCGUGGGGAGCAAACAGG
rnacentral:rRNA from 1 species